rfam:Chelonobacter oris strain 1662 contig000005a, whole genome shotgun sequence.
GGGGCUGAUUCUGGAUUCGACGGGAUUAGCGAAGCCCAAGGUGCAUGUCGAGGUGCGGUAGGCCUCGUAAACAAACCGCAAAACAAUAGUCGCAAACGACGAAAACUACGCUUUAGCAGCUUAAUAACCUGCUCUUAGCCUUCUCUCCCCAGCUUCUGCUCGUAAGACGGGGAUCAAGAGGAGUCAAACCCAAACGAGAUCGCGUGGACGCCUCCGCUUGCGGAUCGAAACGUUAAAUUGAAUCAAGCUAGCUUAUCUGUCGCGUGUCUGUCCGCAGUGGGUAAGUGAAAUUAAAGACUGACUAAACAUGUAGUGCUGAAGGUAGAGUAAUUUCGGACGCGGGUUCAACUCCCGCCAGCUCCACCA